CCGAGAUGGAGGAAGGUGUGGAGAAAGACCAGCUGUGGGGCACUCCACCCUUCCAACUCCUUAUUUGUUCUUUGUAACUCAGUGGGUCAUCAUGGGGACAGCUGAGAACAACCACAUUGUACUGAAACUUCCACUCCUUGACAAACCCAAGACACAGAAAAACUAUGCCCAACCUGAGGUUCUGAAUCACACCUUUGAGACUCUGUCUAACCUUCACAAACUGCUGCCAAAUCUUAUGAUGGAGACACUCUAUUCCUACAAGAGAGAAGCGGACAAACAAAAUUCUCAGAAUUCUGAAUUCUCUGGCUUAGAAAGGAUCUUAGCAAGACAUCAGUUUCCAAAAGAGAUUAAUCGGACCCCCAAUCCAAGUAGCAUGCCCCUGUGGAGAAGAAAAUCCAUCAACAAUGCAAAUCGUGGGUGGAGUAAAUGUCAAUUAUGGAAUAAAAGCCCUGAGGAGCCUCUGAUGUCAACCAUAGUUGUCAGAUGGUUGAAAAAGAACAUGCAACCUACCGAAGACCUCCAGUCGGUAAUCCAGAGGUUGUCAGUGUUUGGGCCAAUUAAGUCAGUUACCUUCUUUGGACGGCAAAGUGCUACUGUGGUGUUCCAAGACAUGACUUCAGCUUGUAAUGCUGUGAAUGCUUUUCAAAGUAGGACCCCAGGCACAAUGUUUCAGUGUUCCUGGCAACAGCGCUUCAUGUCAAAAGAUAAAACUUUUUCAAGAAGCUAUACUGCAAAGUCACAGCCUAAGGACUAUAAGCAAGAAAUUAAAAGAAAACACCAACCACAGCUUAAGGGACACAAACAGUCUAAGAUUCAUUAGAAGAAAAGAAAGAACUGGGGAAAUCUAACAUAAAUUAGAAAGAAGCAGAGGUCGCCCAUAAGUAGCGGGGAAUGAAGCCAGGAUUUGAACUCAAGUAGACCUGAGUCCUGAGCCUAAGCCCCCUACAUGCACAUGGUGCCCCUUCCAACUCAUCAGUCCAGGAAAGUAGCAGUGCUUGUGGGCCAUGGAGAACCUACUCAAAGCCAACUAAUUCGAAAUAACAAUUGCCCAAACUGGUCGUGUGAAGAAGUAGCCACCAUGACUCAUCUUCCUACACCAAAUCAAACAAGAGAUCACAAAAAGAGGAAUGAUGCUGAAACACUAUAAUUUUUGAGUGAAACUGACAGGGGAAGAACAGAAAGGCAGGAUAAAUUCCUAGGGCA